UACGUAGGGUGCGAGCGUUGUCCGGAAUUAUUGGGCGUAAAGAGCUUGUAGGCGGUUUGUCGCGUCUGCUGUGAAAAUCCGGGGCUCAACCCCGGACUUGCAGUGGGUACGGGCAGACUAGAGUGUGGUAGGGGAGACUGGAAUUCCUGGUGUAGCGGUGAAAUGCGCAGAUAUCAGGAGGAACACCGAUGGCGAAGGCGGCAUCCUGGACCGACAUUGACGCUGAGGAGCGAAAGCUAGGGGAGCAAACGGG
rnacentral:rRNA from 1 species